rnacentral:rRNA from 1 species
GAUGAACGCUAGCGGCAGGCCUAAUACAUGCAAGUCGAACGGUCCACUUCGGUGGAUAGUGGCGCACGGGUGCGUAACACGUAUGCAACCUACCUUACAUUGGGGGAUAGCCUUUCGAAAGGGAGAUUAAUACCGCAUAAGACAGUAACAUGGCAUCAUGUAGCUGUUAAAGAUUUAUCGAUGUAAGCUGGGCAUGCGUCCAAUUAGUUAGUUGGUGAGGUAAUGGCUCACCAAGACGAUGAUUGGUAGGGGAACUGAGAGGUCAAUCCCCCGCACUGGCGCUGAGAUACGGGCCAGACUCCUACGGGAGGCAGCAGUAGGGAAUAUUGGGCAAUGGACGCAAGGCUGACCCAGCCAUGCCGCGUGCAGGAAGAAGGCGUUCUGCGUUGUAAACUGGUUUUAUAUAGGAAGAAACGACCCUUGCGAGGGGCAUUGACGGUAUUAUAUGAAUAAGCACCGGCUAACUCCGCGCCAGCCGCCGCUGUAACAC